rnacentral:misc_RNA from 1 species
GGGUGUUAUGGAAUGAGGGUGUACCACAUUGAAGAUAUAUUAUAGAAUUUAGUUCCUUAUUGUUAUCUUCUUUUGUUGAGCUCUGGAGGACAAAGCGGGUGUAUUUCUGCAUCUAUCUUUGCUUCAUUGAGCAGGAACGGCAACGAGAGAGAACUCCAUUAGAACGGUUUUGAGCGUUGUAUCUACCUCUGUCUUGCUCUCAUCAUGGAUUGCUCACAACCCAUUUAUGAGACCUUUAAAGCCGAAUCUCGCAUCUCCAAACUGGAUUAUAUGUGAGCUCCACUUGUCUUUCAAUUUGAUGGUUGAAAAAUGCUCGAGGUUCCUUCACUUGUUUGCCUCUGAAAAUCCCAUUUUCAAGAGAUUACUCUCUUUCUCUUCCAAUUUUAGGUACCAUCUUAUCUAGGCAACUCUCUGUCUCUUUGCAUUUAUCUACCUUCUGAUCUAAUGUUCAAUUUUACUAUGCGCAUGUGCGUGUGGAUUAGAAACUGUUGGUACUUGUUUAAUGCUUCUUAAAUUGAGAUUUAAUCUGGUUUAGAAUAAUUUCUUUUAGGGGGUAUUAAUGGAAGUGGGUACUUCAAAUUCAAUGUAAACUCUCCCUCUUCUUGGUUUGGUUUAUAUGGUUGUGUGUUGUUAUUGUGGAACAUUGGCGGAUCCACAUUAUAAAUUUUUAACCUCUCUUUUUAUUAAAAUAUUGUGUAUAUAUUCAUUUCUUAAAAAUUUAAUGAUUGAAACGUUUUUUUGAUAAAUAUAAAAAUAAGUUGCUCAUUUGUAUAACUUAUUUAAAUUUAGGGCCUAAUAGCUCCAUAAAUCUAAAUCUUUGCGACUUUGCAUUUUAAUCCAAAUCUUUCAAUUAUAGAUCAAUUGAUCAGAUUUUAAAUUUUUGGUUAAAUUUUAUCCAAUUUUGAAAUUGGGAUUGGGGGGAGUGUGUCCCCUUGCUUAUGUGACAUGACAUUUGGUAUAUUUUAUUAUUUGUAGAUGGGUCUCACAUGACACAUAAGAUUAAACAAAAAAAAAUACAUUAACCAUAGUUAACAAUUAACCCAAGGGUAAUAUUGUAAGAUCACAAUCAAAUAAAUCCUUAAAUUAAAACUUCUCUUUACCAAAUGAGAGUUGUUUAACAUCAUUGUCAACCUUCUUCUGCCAACAUUACUAUCUUUCCUCUAUGUGUGCAUUUCAUGAUAAAGGAUUGGAAAACGAUGGCUACCGAUAGCGCUACUGGGUCGACAGCUACUACUGAUUGAGUGUGUUGCCCUGUGCAUAAUGAGGGUGUUGCAUUGCUUACCUCUUUCACUCGCAAGAAUCUAGGAAGGAGGUUCUUCUGUUGUCCUUUAAGGAAGGCCAAUAAUUGCAAUUUCUUCCUUUGAUAUGAUGAUGAACUUGUCCCUGGUUCUAGAGAAAGGUGUGUCUUUGAUGUUAUCUUUGAUAAAAUAGAGAGGCUACAAGCUAUAAUUUCGAGUAAGGAGCAAAAUAAGGUUAAGUUGGAAAGAAACUUGAAGGCUGCUGAGGCAAAUUUGGUGAAGAAAAAAGAUAAAGUGAGGAGAUUGAAGGAAGACCUUUCACUACUACAUUCAAUGUUGCAGAAAAUGCACAAUGAAAAAUAGAGAAUGAGGCUGCUAUAUGUUGCUUCAAUGCUUAUGAUGUUUUUUUAUUAUUAUCAAUGUCAUAAAGGAGAAAGUUAGCAGCAAGUUAUAUCUUGCUUAAGCUAUUAUGUAAUGAAAACUAUGUUUAUGGGUAAUGAAAAAUGCUAUUUUGUAAUGAAAACUAUGUUUAUG